rnacentral:rRNA from 1 species
GGCUGUCGUCAGCUCGUGUCGUGAGAUGUUCGGUUAAGUCCGCUAACGAGCGCAACCCUCGUCGUAUGUUAUAUGUGUCAUACGAGACUGCCGGUAAAAAGCCGGAGGAAGGUGAGGAUGAUGUCAAGUCAGCAUGACCUUUAUAUCCAGGGCUACACACACGCUACAAUGGUCUGUACAAUGGGUAGCCAAGCCGCGAGGCGGAGCCAAUCCUGAAAGCAGGCCUCAGUUCAGAUUGCAGUCUGCAACUCGACUGCAUGAAGCCGGAGUUGCUAGUAACCGCAGGUCAGCAAUACUGCGGUGAAUACGUUCCCGGGUCUU